GCGGCAAGAUGGCGGACGGUGACGGCUUAGGUGAAGCAACGGCAGCUGCGGCGUCUCCUCCUGCUCCUGCUCCCGGCCGGAGCCCGCCGCUGGGCUGGAGGGAGCGGCUGCGGGCCGGCCUGGCGGGCACUGGGGCCUCGCUGUGGUUCGUGGCGGGGCUGGGGCUGCUUUACGCUCUGAGGGUCCCGCUGAGGCUGUGUGAGAAUUUGGCAGCGGUGACAGUAUUUUUAAAUUCAUUGACGCCCAAAUUCUAUGUGGCACUUACAGGGACAUCUUCUUUGAUAUCAGGACUAAUAUUUAUAUUUGAAUGGUGGUACUUCCAUAAGCAUGGCACAUCUUUUAUUGAGCAAGUAUCUGUAAGCCAUUUGCGACCACUGAUGGGAGGAACAGAAGGCAGCAUUUCAGAGCCAGGUUCUCCUUCCAGCAGCAGAGAAAGUGAAACCAGCAGACAGAAUUUGUCAGAAUGCAAGGUAUGGAGAAAUCCUCUAAAUCUUUUCAGAGGAGCAGAAUAUAGGAGAUACACUUGGGUGACUGGUAAAGAGCCACUUACAUACUAUGACAUGAAUUUGUCAGCUCAGGACCAUCAGACCUUUUUCACCUGUGACACGGACUUUUUACGUCCUUCAGACACAGUUAUGCAGAAGGCAUGGAGGGAAAGAAAUCCUCCAGCUCGAAUCAAAGCAGCCUAUCAAGCUUUAGAAUUAAACAAUGACUGUGCUACUGCAUAUGUUCUACUGGCUGAGGAAGAAGCAACAACUAUUGUAGAUGCUGAAAGGUUAUUUAAACAGGCACUCAAGGCAGGAGAAACAAUUUACAGGCGGUCACAACAGUGCCAGCACCAAAGUCCUCAGCAUGAAGCUCAACUGAGGAGAGAUACCAACGUACUGGUGUAUAUUAAAAGAAGACUGGCAAUGUGUGCAAGAAAAUUAGGAAGAAUAAGAGAAGCAGUGAAAAUAAUGAGAGAUUUGAUGAAAGAAUUUCCCCCUCUUACCAUGUUGAACAUCCAUGAAAAUCUCCUAGAAUCACUUUUAGAAUUACAGGCCUAUGCAGAUGUCCAAGCAGUUCUAGCAAAAUAUGAUGAUAUAAGCCUUCCAAAGUCAGCAGCCAUCUGUUAUACAGCAGCACUAUUGAAGACAAGGACUGUUUCAGAUAAAUUUUCUCCAGAAACAGCCUCCAGAAGAGGGUUAAGCACAGCAGAAAUUAAUGCUGUGGAAGCAAUUCAUAGAGCUGUGGAAUUUAAUCCUCAUGUUCCAAAAUAUUUACUAGAGAUGAAAAGUCUCAUUUUACCUCCAGAACACAUUCUGAAACGGGGCGAUAGUGAAGCAAUUGCCUAUGCUUUCUUUCAUCUUCAGCACUGGAAGCGAAUAGAAGGUGCUCUUAAUCUGUUACAGUGUACAUGGGAAGGCACUUUUAGAAUGAUUCCAUACCCACUAGAGAAAGGCCAUCUAUUUUAUCCUUAUCCCAGCUGCACAGAGACUGCUGAUAGAGAGCUAUUACCUCCGUUUCAUCAUGUUUCUGUUUACCCAAAGAAGGAGCUUCCUUUUUUCAUCCAUUUCACAGCAGGACUAUGUUCUUCUACAGCAAUGAUAGCUCUUCUCACACACCAGUUUCCUGAAAUCAUGGGUGUUUUUGCUAAAGCUGCAGCCAUUCUCCAACCCCUACCCCAAUUAUGAGAGGGUUGAGGCCCAGAAGUUUUUGUAUAAGUCAACUGCGAUAUUUACAGGAAACUUCUUCCUGGAGUCCCAGUGUAAACAGGGACAGAUCCUCAGGCAGCCUGGAAUACAAGAACCCUUCAAAUAUUCAACCUUAAUGUUGGAUGAAGUUGUUGACUCCAUCAGGAUUUCAAACCAGGAAGAAACAGAGCAUAUGGUGUCGAGGAUGAACUGUAAUACAGUCAAGGUAUCUGUGUUUUAGCUAUGCCCAUAACCUGACUCUCCCUGAACUGUAAAAAAAUUUCACAAAAACCUGUAACAGAAUAUCGUAACUGAUGAUGUUGUUUUGCCUUUUAACUUCUGUCUUCUAAAUCAGACCACUGAUUUUUUAAAAAGUUUAACAAUUUGAUAUCAGUUGAAAAUGACCAACAGACCUAGCAAUUGUUUUUGCUCCAAGGUUUUUUGGGGACAGUAACUCUUCUGGGAGGCAGUGUGUUGCAGUGGAAAGUGCUUGGACUUUGGAGCCCUACAGACCUAAGUUUGCAUCCUGGCUCUACCACUUCAUACUUCCUUGAUCCACGUAACCUUUGAGCUUUCAGUUCUUCAUCUAUAAAAUGCGGAUGACAAUACAUACUCUAACAGGAUACUGAAUGGUUUAAAUGAGUUAGUGACUGGUCAGUUCUCUCAUUUCUCAUCCCUGGAGAGCAUAUAUUUGGUUUCAUCUAUAAGGAUAAUGAAGUUUUCCUUUUUCCAAUGAGUUCUCACUUUCUACCACUCAUGUGUCUAAUUUAGAAAUCAAAACAAGUUUACUGCUUCUAACCUGGUAGGUUGAUCUGCUCCAAGAAGGAGAUGGCCUGGCCAGUUCCUGGGAAAGGCAGCUUAGGAACACACACAACACUUAUUCAGACCAAUGGUUAUCUGCACACUACUUGGGAAAGAAAAAGGACAAUCUUCUGCCUAGAGUGGCUUUUUGUGACUUUAGGAUAUAAGUGAAAAGAUUGCUUUUGCUUCCACUGAAUUUCUACAGCUUUUAAUCAAGUUACAAUUUUAACUCAUAAUACUGAUA